UUAACAGACGCCGCUUCCCCCCCCGUGGUGGAUUUGUCCGAUUUCCUCCGGAACUGAGACCACCAUGAAGACCCCGACCCUCCCCUUUAAUAAAAUAAUAAUUAAUAAUUGUCUGUUAA